UCUUCAUUUUUAAAGUAUGUGUGUGCUUAU
rnacentral:piRNA from 1 species